AUAUUUCUUUUUCGGGUUGAAAAGCCUAGAGUGAUAUUCGAUAGGAGCGUUGGUGUUCUUUGGUUGUUGGUCUAAGGUGAUCGGAGGUAUUCUGAGAACUUCCGAUCGACCAUCGAGGAACAUCGACCGUGUCAUUUCCGGUUAUCUACGAUCGGGGGUGUCACAGUCGGCCUGUUAGAGAGUGACUUUCCACGUGGAUAGCUUAGGAGAGAGGAAAACAUAUAUAUCUAUAUAUAUAGAUAUUAUGAUAGCAUUUAAAAUAUUUAGGAAGGGCUUCCUGAAAAUUUAAUAUUUAAUUAAAAAGAAAAAAUAUUUGGAUUCCCACGUGAAUGAAUAUUGAACAUAUUUGAUUCUGGAUAUAGUAAAAAAUAGUGAUUUAACCGCUAUAAUACAGUGGAAAAUUGUUAAGUUAGAAAAUUUUAUGCGCCUUCUAAACAAACUGAGUGAGAUGCAUUUAGUAUUGUUAGAGAAGAUGAUACAUGUUUUCCUCGCUAGGAGCAUUGUAACAGUGAAGAAAAAUGCAGAAUGGGCAUGGUUCUAUUCUGUAACAUUAGUCAUAGUUAAAACUUAAUUGUAUAUAUUGUGUAAAAUAUUUAGUAUGAGCUUCCAAGAACAUAUUCUGAAUGAUAUCGUAUGGAUUAUAGUGGCUAGCUGAUGGGUUAGGAUAUUAUAUCUAUCGGGCUAGCUAAUAAAAAAUUGUAUUAAAUCGUUUGUAUAUUAAAUUGGAAGGGGAAAGUGUAUGGAUUUCGAGUGGAAUUGAACGCAUGUAUGUGUGGUUCAAGUAUAGUAAGAGUAAUGAUUUAGCCUAUAGGUUACACUGGAACAUAUAACAUUUAGGAUAACAAUUAAAAUAUUUAGGAAGGGCUUCCAAGAAAUUUAAUAUUCAAUCAAAAAGGAAAAAAAAUUGGAUUCAAACACGGAACAUAUUUGAUUUUGGAUAUAUAUAUAUAUAGUAAAAAUAGUGAUUUAGCCGCUAGACUAUGGUGGAAUAUUGUUCAUAUCAAAAAUUUAAAUGUAUACAUUUACAAAAGUACAAAUCACCUAUUCAUGAAAACUUGAGGAAAUGUGCAAGUAGAUAAAUCUCUACCAUGGAGAUAUGCUUUCAGCGUAACCUUUAACCUAUGUUUCUAUCAAGUGAAAAGCAUUGACAUUUUUUUUCUCUCUUUGUAUAUUUAGCUAAUUUUGGAAUGACGUCAAAAAAAGAAGAAGCUAAUUUUGCAAUAUUUUGAAAGAGUUAUUACAUGUUUAGGAAAUGUAUCAUGAAUAAUUCAAGAGAAAAGAUAUUAUUUUUGCAAAUUGGCAAUGAUUACUUUCAUCUCCUUUUCAUUUCUCUUCACAUUCUUGCUAUUUACUACAACAAACUCUUUAACAACUAAUAGUAACCUAUUUACCAAUGUUGACAAACUCCAUGGAUGAAGAAUCCUCUUGAUAUAGCCUAUCUACUAAUAAAUUUUCACAAUGUGAUAUGACUUCAACUUUUGCAUCUUCCACAACAUUCUUCUGCCUGAAAAGUUACUGAUUUUCAUAUGUACAUAUUGAUAGCUCCGCUUGCAGAUUAUCGUUUCCCUAAUGAACCUCGUUUAACUCAGCAAGAAGCAACUUAACUUUUCUUCUAGAUUUUACUGCCACCAACACAGCAGAAGACACAACUGAACUCAUAUUCUAAAACAGUUGUGAGAUCUACUGAAGCAGAACUGGGUCAUAUAUGUCACCUAUGUCACCAAUAUUGAUGCUAUUCAACGCAUUCCUGCAAAAUAGUUUCUAUUCUGCAAAUAAUUUUUCAAAAAUUGGCAUUUAGACUCUGCCCUCACAGUAUAAAAUUCCAACUCCAAAGUAAAACAUAAAAACGUAAUAUAAGGGAACUUUAAAAUAGAACCUCUCAUUCAUAACACACUGAAAUGAGAAAGACAAUCUAGUUGCACCAAAGUCAGACUGAUUCACUGUAAUUAAAACGAAACGCUCCACAAAGGAGUAAGUUGUCCAACAAAUGCAAAGCAAGCUGAAAAUAACUUUCUAUACAUUGAUCUACAAACAAACAUAGAUAACUGAAUACAAACAAACAGAAGUCUUUACUACAAACAUAGAAUGAUGAUAAAUUUCCUAAAUCCUUCCAAAGCAAUUGAAAUGAAAACAACAUAAUCACUCUAACUGAAACAAAAUCACACGAAUCCAUCAAAAUGUGAUCAUCGUAUAGCUGUGAAUCAGAGACAGUUCAUGAUAACUCUACUAAAUCAUGGAUGAAACAUUCCAAAUCAAACGAAAAUCAAUUAAAAGGAACAAAAUCAAAUAUAAUUGAACCCUAAAACCACAAAUCCUAUCAAAUUAAACAUCAAUAUAGUAAAAAGUGUGAGUAACUUGGAACAAAAGCAUUGUCGAUAGAUCAUUUAUAUAUAAUUUUGUAUAAAAAUUAAUCAUCAACAUGAUACAAAAUACUUUGACAGGUUAACAACGAGAUACCGCAAAAGUGACGGAGAUUGUCGAAGAUAAUGACAUCAAAAUUUUUAAUGGCGCAACGAUUGGAGCUGAGGGAGACAGACGUAGAUUAUGACAACGAAGAUUAGCGACGCCGGCGAUGAGCGAUGCCGAAGAUGACAACGGUGGAGAUGAGAAAUGCCGGCGAUGACAACGGCAGAGAUAUGAAACGCCGAAACCGUCGAGGUAAGUUUCCAAAAAAAUAUAAAAUGUAAUUAAAAGAGAAGACAAGAGGGUAAAAUAGUAAAUAUCAAUAUUAAAUAAAAUAUUUUUGUGAUUUUGAACCUUGAGGUCUAGAAUGAGAAGAAAAAAUUGCUAUAGGACUAUCUAAGACCAUUUCUUUUAAAUGUUCAUACACCUUUCUAUGUAGACGUUUUAAUUCUUGCCAAAUAAUUUUGCCAAGCAAUAUAUCACUUUCUCCAUCGUGAGGAUAUCACCAAAAACUACAAAAAAAUUCAAUACCAUAUACAUCCAUAGUUUCUGACAUGACGUAAACCACAAAAAAAAAAGUAAUUGUCAGGUUCAUUCUUAGUCUUUCAUUGGUGAUAAUGUAUGUUGUUAUACAAUUUUCUCUCGUGUACUCAUAUUUAUAGUUCAACAUUCAAUAGAAUUUUAAAUCUGAUUUAUUUUUCGUGAAUUUCCUGGUAAAAAUUAAAUCCAUAUUUUUUUAUACAUUAAUUAUUAAUUAAAAUACCACAAAAGUAAACAUAUGAGCUUUCCACACAUAAUUUUGGAAGAUCUUAAAAAAAUCAUAACCAAAUCCCCACAAUAUCUUCUCAAUCAAAUCAACCACAAUUUUUUUAAAGACAUUUUGAAUUUAUUGAUCAUCAUCAAAGAUAAUUUAUACAAAGAAUACUAUUCUAAAAAGAAUGAGGUUCCGUAUAACUAUAGAAGAAAAUUGAAAUUUGUACUAAGAGCUCCAUGCUUACUCAAAAUCUUCAAACCACCUUCUUAGAAGUCCUUCAAGUUUGUGAUUUCCCUUAUAACCCUUGACAACUUUAUUAUUCAUGAUGAUCAUCUGAUCUGUUCCCUGAUGCCCUUGUUGGUGCCUUCUAAUAUUUCUCUCCCACCAGACAUGAUAGACUAUCACUUGAAAAAUUAAGUUAGCGAAUGAGAAACUGAUCGAUGUGAGUAAAAGCUCCUUCAUGCACAAAGCUGAGCAUAUCUGACCAAUCUGGGUUGAUUCUCCUUCCUAUGAGCCUGCCUGCAACUUUGUCCCAUAUAGUAUAUGCAUAGGGACACACAACCACAAUUUUACAGGCGACUAUAUUUAACAAACUGCAACCAAUUUUGAAAAUAUGUUUAGAAUCAACAUAGUUUUUACCGAAAUCUUACAUUAUGCUCACAAUAUCCAAACAACUAAUAAUAAUAAUAAAAAAUUCUCAGUUUUCUUUCUUGGAAAAGGCUGAACAGUCAUAGAUAUGGGGAAUUUUUAUGUUUACCACAUUUUUGGUACUAUUAUUCAUGUUUACCUUCAUUAAAGAGAUAUUUUUACAAGUAUAUUCUUCAUUAAAGAAGCAAAAGACUCUUAUACCUUUGCUUUAUAGAUAUCAAGAUAUCUAAAUAUACAUAAUAAUUAAAUAAAUAAUAAAAGUAAAAUAAAUAAAUUUUUAAUAACUAUACGUUUUCAAGAUCAAAAUUUUUUAUAUUUUUUUAGUUUUCGAUUUUUUUAAUUUCUCUUUUGUCAAUUUAAAAAUUCUUUUUAAAACUAUUUAUUUUAUUUUUUAAAAAUAAGUAUUAAUUUAUAUUUAUCUACUCUAUUAAAACAACUAUAAAGCCACCUAAAUCAAUUUAAGUAUUUAUUUACUAAAUUUAGACACAAUAUUUUUUUUAAGAUAUAUAGUUAUAAUUUUCAUUAUUUAUUAAUAGUAACUAAAAACCACAUAAAAAGAAUCAUUUAUAUAAUAUAUUAAUAAACAUAUAUAAAUGAAAAUAUAUUAUUUUAUAUAAAAUAACCCAAUAUAGGUGUUGAAGAGUAUAAAAUUCUGAUCCGUAAUAAAAUGAAAAUACAUUCAUGCGGAUGUUCGGGUAAAACUCUCAAAACGAAUGACAAAAUCGACAUCUCAAAAAUAAAAUAUAAUUAUUCAGUAUAAACUAUAAAAUUAUUAUGUUUUUGAAAUGUCAUCUUAAACAAUUAUUUAAUAUAAUCCACAUUUCUCGACGUUAGUUUCUUAUCUGAAACCUACAUAAAUGUUUUGUGCUUUAUAGCAAACCAAAGAAUUUAGAAUAAAAAGCUUGAGUAAGACACAUGUUACCUCUACUCCGAUAAAGGUAAUGUUGGGAUGGGUUUGCAAAGCGCAUUUAAGUAUAACUAGAUAUUGAACCGCGCGCCCGCGCGGGUUUUGAAUUUUUUUCCUUUUUAGAAAUUUUUUUAAUGAGAUUUUAAACACAUAGUUUAUUUAUAUAUUUUAGAUUUUUACAAACCAAUCCGGACCGAGGAUGUUCAAUAUCAAAUUCUUCCAAAUUUUAUAAUAUCUCAAUGAUAUUUAUUUAACUUUAAAACCAUAAACAAUAUCCAAUAAACAAUUCCUAUUCACAAUGAGUAUUUUGAUGUCUAUGUAUAACUGGUUUUGUAAAUUAAUAUUUACAAAAGAAACAAUAUUUUUAGAUUAUUUUGAAAAUUAUUUCUUUUUUCUUUGUACAUAAUAUUAUUUUGAAAUUUUAAUAACAUGUGCAGUUUUCAUUCGAAAAUUUUAUAAGCAUAUAUUUGUUGUACAUGAAUAUUAUUAUAUCAUAAUGGGAACUAAAUAUUGUUUUGCUUUUUUUUGUUAUAUACUAAUUUUUAUACAGUUUCACAUCAUUUUUAUACGAUGUACUUUUUAACCGCAGAUUGUAUGAUAAAUAAAACAAUAGUUAAGUAAAUAAAUGGAAACCUUUUAUUUUCAUAUUAUUUCUAUAUUACUCUUGUACAUUAAUAUAUUUAACUAAAAAACAAUGUACUAUUAUAUAUAUAUAUAUAUAUAUUAUUUUUUAUAACACCCAUUUUAUUGAACUUUACAAUGUAUUUUUUAACCGCAAAUUGUAUGAUAAAUAAAACAAUAGUUAAGUAAAUAUCUGGAGACUUUUUGUUUUCAUGUUAUUUAUAUAUUACUCUUGUACACAAAUAUAUUUAACUAAACAGUGUACAAUAUAUAUAUAUAUACAAUGUACUUUUAAUGCCCAUGUUAUUGAAUUAUACAAUGUACUUUUUAACCGCAAAUUGUAUGAUAAAUAAAACAAUAGUUAAUUAAAUAUAUAGAGACUUUUUAUGUUAUUUCUAUAUUACUCUUGUACACUAAUAUAUUUCACUAACAAUAAUAGGCUAUUAUAUAUAUAUAUAUAUAUAUAUUUGUUUUUUUUAUAACCCAAUUUUAUUGAACUUUAGAGAGAGUUUACAUAAUCUUCAUGAAGAGAAUGUUCAAUUAUUGGAGGAACAUGAUAAUGACAGACAAAUAAAUUGUCAUUUGGGAUUCUUGAUUUAGCUAAAAUGUCUUCCAUUCUAUUUUUUUUUCUUCCACCCCAAGCAAACGAAAUAUCUUCAAACCUUUGUAUCCACCACUGCAAUAUAUAUAUAUAUAUCUAUAUAGAUUACUUAUUUUUGGACACAAGAAAAUUCAUAGUUAUUUCAAUAUUAUAAAAUGAUUUUAUUUUGAUAUAAUAUCUUACUAAUAUAUAUUGAAUGUUUUUUUUGUUAUUGAAUAUAUUUUUUGGUUUAAAUUGAUUAUUAACACAAUAAGAAUUAAAUUAUUAGAAGUUCUACUCGUUUUUAUGUCCAUUUUCAUUUAUUUAUAUACAGUAAAUAUAUAUUUUAAAACUUAAAUUUCAUAUAUAUUGGAAUAUUAUUUUAAUAUUUUUUUUAAUUGUGAAAAAAAUUCAAAUAAUUUAAUGAAUAAAUACAAUAAGUCUUUGAUUGAAAAUAUUGACAAUUAAAUGGAACAGUAGAACAUGUAAUUAGAUCAGUUGGGCCAUAUUUAUAUUUUCAAAUUAGACUAAACCCAACAUUACAAAAAAAAAUUUUGUUUUUUUUAUGAAAAGAGUAAAUGCAUGUACGAUCAGAACCUAACUAAUUAAUAUCUUCCCGUUUUCUCUGUUGAUGUCGGUUCAGUGAAGAUCUCUCAUCUUCUCUCUUUACUCCCACAAAUUUAACAACCGAAAACAAAAACCAUGAAGAUGAUUCAAAUCUAAAGCUCACACUGUUACAAAUUCGAAAGAUUGGUGCUAUUUGUACCAAGUCAGAUUUUAUGUGUGAUUCUCAUAAGAAAUCCAACAGUAUUCAAUCUCCGCUCGGACAUGCAAUUCAAUAUCAGAAGAUUUGAGAAAUUUCAUCUACGCUUUCAGUAUUAACUUAAUACUCAAUAUGAGCUUGAUUGAAGCAAAUUUGACACACAAAGAUAUGGCUAUCUUUUUAGUGUAAGAUAUGAGAACCCUUCUAUUUUUAAAAUUCUGAUUUUGUAUUGUGUCUCAAGAAUAUAUAUAUUACUAAUAAGAAAUUGUAAUUACGUAUGAUGAAAACAUAUAGAAGGAAUUAAGAUAGAAACAUUGUGUUAUCUAUAGUCGUUUGUGGCUUUAGCUCGACUUGAUUAUUGUAGUAGACUUGUAUGAGAUUACCUCUUUUACUAGGUGAUUACCCGCGUCCUGCGCGGAGUGAAUGGGCUAAAAAAUAUUUUAACUUUUAAUCUAUAAGUAUUAGAAUGUAAAAUUCAAAGGCACAAAUAUUACAUAUUAUAUAAUGAACAAUUGAACGAAAUUGUGUAUAUUUUUAAAACGCAAAAUAAAUUGCUUUCAUAAUUAAAAUUAUAAA